AUAUACACCUAAAAAAAAAGUUGAGAAAAAUCAUGUAAUUGACUUGAUAAAGCUUGCGUUAGCACUUGAAGCUCUGGGCGCCUUACCCGCUCCGGCUCCCCCAUCAUGGCCUCGCUGGUAAGGGUGGCCUGUCCCUCUGCUCUAUGUGGUUUAGGACUCAGCGAAUGCUCUCUACACCAAAUGCCUCCAGCAGCUUCUGAGGGACUCUCACCUGAAAAUGCUCGCCAAGCAGGAGGCCCAGAUGAACCUGAUGAAGCAGGCAGUGGAGGUGAGGGUGGGGCGGAGUGGCUGGGAGGCACACCCUGUUGCCCGCUCACACCCUGAAUGGGGUCUGUUGAUUCCACAGAUAUACGUCCAUCAUGAAAUUUACGACCUGAUCUUUAAAUACGUGGGGACCAUGGAGGCAAGUGAGGUAGGUUCUCAGUUAUUAUCACCCAAGAUGGAAGCCUUCUUCUGUGCUUUUUGAGAAAUUUGAAGGUUCGUUAAAAUCUGUUGUUAGGAUGCCGCCUUUAACAAAAUCACAAGAAGCCUUCAAGAUCUUCAGCAGAAAGAUAUUGGUGUGAAACCGGAGUUCAGGUAAGGGUUUGCGCCACAGCGGCUUGGUGUCCUCAGAGGCAGGGGUGCUGUCUUCUCCCG
rnacentral:sRNA from 1 species